rnacentral:tRNA from 1 species
ACUUAGUUAGUAUAGUAGUACAUGUAAUUUCCAUUUAUAAGGUUAGUACUAAGUA